AUACUUACCUGGCAGGGGAGAUACCAUGAUCACGAAGGUGGUUUUCCCAGGGCGAGGCUUAUCCAUUGCACUCCGGAUGUGCUGACCCCUGCCGAUUUCCCCAAAUGUGGGAAACUCGACUGCAUAAUUUGUGGUAGUGGGGGACUGCGUUCGCGCUUUCCCCUG
rnacentral:snRNA from 1 species